rnacentral:ribozyme from 1 species
AACCUCUUCAAGAUGAAGGCCUUAGUUCUAGGGGCUCGCCUCAUGUUUUGGAUUAGUUAUUCGUCAGCUU